GGACAACCUGCCCUCGGGAGGGGGAUAACCCCGGGAAACUGGGGCUAAACCCCCAUAGGUGAUGGAUACUGGAAUGUUCCAUCACCGAAAGUCCGCAAGGAGCCCGAGGAUGGGUCUGCGGCGGAUUAGGUAGUUGGUGGGGUAACGGCCCACCAAGCCUAAGAUCCGUACGGGCCAUGGGAGUGGGAGCCCGGAGAUGGACCCUGAGACAAGGGUCCAGGCCCUACGGGGCGCAGCAGGCGCGAAACCUCCGCAAUGCGGGAAACCGCGACGGGGUCAGCCGGAGUGCCGAUGCUUGCAUCGGCUGUCGGGGAGCCUAAAAAGCUCCCCAUAGCAAGGGCCGGGCAAGGCCGGUGGCAGCCGCCGCGGUAAUACCGGCGGCCCGAGUGGCGGCCACUAUUAUUGGGCUUAAAGCGUCCGUAGCCGGGUUGGUUAGUCUCCCGGGAAAUCUGGCCGCUUAACGGUCAGAAUUCCGGGAGAUACUGCCAGCCUAGGGACCGGGAGAGGCCGAGGGUAUUCCCGGAGUAGGGGUGAAAUCCUAUAAUCCCGGGAGGACCACCUGUGGCGAAGGCGCUCGGCUGGAACGGGUCCGACGGUGAGGGACGAAGGCCAGGGGAGCAAACCGGAUUAGAUACCCGGGUAGUCCUGGCUGUAAACGAUGCGGACUUUGUGUCGGACAAGCUAUGAGCUUGUCCGGUGCCGGAGGGAAACCGUUA
rnacentral:rRNA from 1 species